ensembl:lncRNA LOC102554140 uncharacterized LOC102554140
GGGGCGGGGCCUCAGUGAGCUCGUCUCCCGGCUCCUGGCUCCCGGGAAGGGUCACAGCCUGCGCUUUCAGACACUGGAUGAGGGCACCGCUGGCUCUGCUGCUGUGACUUUUCUACUGGGGAUCGAGGGUUCGCCCUCCUCUCUAACCUUUGCUCAGGUUUCCGUGACGACGUCUGGCUAGCCUGGAUCCUGCUUGAGCUUGGUUUUCUACUGAGUGAAUCCUGCCGAGUGACUAGACUGGCCUUGACCUGCCUCAGCCUCCUGCGUAGCUCUGAUUACAAGCAAUUACACUUGGUGUCUUCUAGUGCGAUGUAGUUGAAGAGGGGCACACGACAUGCUCAGAAGAACCCUAUCAUGUGAUCGUGUCACCUAACUGCAAGGAGAGCUAAAUGAAGUCGUUAGCUGGCCAACGAUUUGUCAUCUAAUCCUCACUCCUAUUGAAGAGCGAGGGAGUGGAUGUUAGCCAGCCAUCUGCCCACUUCAACCAUCCUUGUGUUCUGAUUUUUUUAAUCUGAUUUUUAAU